rnacentral:rRNA from 1 species
UCGGGUUGUAAAGCACUUUUGUCCGGAAAGAAAACUUCUGCCCUAAUACGGCGGGAGGAUGACGGUACCGGAAGAAUAAGCACCGGCUAACUACGUGCCAGCAGCGCGGUAAUCGUAGGGUGCGAGCGUUAAUCGGAAUUACUGGGCGUAAAGCGUGCGCAGGCGGUUCGUUAAGACAGAUGUGAAAUCCCCGGGCUUAACCUGGGAACUGCAUUUGUGACUGGCGAGCUAGAGUAUGGCAGAGGGGGGUAGAAUUCCACGUGUAGCAGUGAAAUGCGUAGAGAUGUGGAGGAAUACCGAUGGCGAAGGCAGCCCCCUGGGCCAAUACUGACGCUCAUGCACGAAAGCGUGGGGAGCAAACAGGAUUAGAUACCCUGGUAGUCCACGCCCUAAACGAUGUCAACUAGUUGUUGGGGAUUCAUUUCCUUAGUAACGUAGCUAACGCGUGAAGUUGACCGCCUGGGGAGUACGGUCGCAAGAUUAAAACUCAAAGGAAUUGACGGGGACCCGCACAAGCGGUGGAUGAUGUGGAUUAAUUCGAUGCAACGCGAAAAACCUUACCUACCCUUGACAUGGUCGGAACCCUGCUG